AUUGAACGCUGGCGGCAGGCCUAACACAUGCAAGUCGAGCGGAGCGGCGGACGGGUGAGUAAUGCCUAGGAAUCUGCCCGGUAGUGGGGUAUAACGUCCGGGAACGGGCCCCAAUACCGCAUACUAUGAGAUGUGCUUCGUUUGGAUUAGCUAGUUGGAGGGGUAAAGGCCUACCAAGGCGACGAUCCGAAACUGUUCUGAGAGGAUGAUCAGUAAAACUGGGACUGAGACAGGGUCCAGACUCCUUGGGGAGGAAGCAGUGGGGAAUAUUGGGCAAUGGGCGAAAGCCUGAUCCAGCCAUGCCGCGUGGGUGAAGAAGGUCUGCGGAUUGUAAAUCACUGUAAGUUGGGAGGCGUUACCAACAGAAUAAGCCCCGGAUAACUUCGUGCCAGCCGCCGCGGUAAUAC
rnacentral:rRNA from 1 species